AGGAUCAUUAUUGAAAUAAAACUCAGGUAGGGGGGAAAGGUGGUUGUAGCUGGCCCCUAAUAAGGGCAUGUGCACACUGUCUCUUUCUCCUUGCUUGUUUUUUUCAUUCUUUCCACUUGUGCACUGCUUGUAGGCAGCCUGGCAUUGUUCAGGUUGUCUAUGAUUUUCUUUACAUACAUGAAUAAUUUGUUGUACAGAAUGUGAUGAAAAAAAAGUAAUACAACUUUCAACAACGGAUCUCUUGGCUCUCGCAUCGAUGAAGAACGCAGCGAAAUGCGAUAAGUAAUGUGAAUUGCAGAAUUCAGUGAAUCAUCGAAUCUUUGAACGCAUCUUGCGCUCCUUGGUAUUCUGAGGAGCAUGCCUGUUUGAGUGUCAUUAAAUUCUGUCAAAACAUGCACUUUUGGUGUGUGUUUUGGAUUGUGGGAGUGUCUGCUGGAUUCUUUAUAUGAGCCAGCUCUCCUGAAAGACAUUAGCUUUGGAGGGAUGUGCCAAGUCACUUCUGCCUUUCCAUUGGUGUGAUAGAUGAAUAAACUUAUCUACGCCAGGAAAGCAGGUUGUAGGUGAUGCACUGUGAUCUCUCUGCUCUCUAAUUGACAUUUGUCUGAUAACUUGACCUCAAAUCAGGUAGGACUACCCGCUGAACUUAAGCAUAUCAAUAAGCGGAGGAAAAGAAACUAACAAGGAUUCCCCUAGUAACUGCGAGUGAAGAGGGAAGAGCUCAAAUUUGAAAUCUGGCAGUGUUUUGCUGUCCGAGUUGUAAUCUAGAGAAGUGCUGCCCGUGCUGGACCAUGUACAAGUCU
rnacentral:rRNA from 1 species